CUGCUCUGUCUGUAUCGCCCUUAUUAUUAUUAUUAUUGUUGUUAUUGUUAUUACUGUUAUUAUCAUUAUUAUCAUUAUUGUCCUCGCGGUAGAGAGAGCUCCGCUGAGGGCGCGCGCGCUCUUGUUGUGAAGAAGCCUGUUUCCAUGGCAACCGGGAGGCUGAUUCGCCUCGUUUCUGUUCAGGCUGCAGGGACGAUCCCCGCAGCAGCAGCAGCUUCUUCAACAAAAACAGGCAGACAUUAGACUGCGGGAGGAGAUACUCGGUACCUGCGCCGUGUUUAUGUAGUGUUUGGGUUUACCUCGCCUCUCAGCAUGAGACUGAAUGUUUAAGGAGACGAGAAAGAAGGAAAGAAGGAAAGAUGGCGCCCGUGUUUGGUGUGAUUAAUGAACAGCGGAUCUGCAGAAGCUGCUCGGAGUGAAUGAAGCGGAUCCCGCGGGAGCGCGCACAAGCAGCCGAUCGCCGCGGCGCGCAUCGCACAGCUGUCAGCACCAAGGACAGCACCGGCACCGGCUCCGCUCCAGACGCGAUUCGGGAGUCCAAACGGGCUGGGACGCGGUUCGACGGAAGAUAGUGCGAUGAUUUAGGUAGCCUCUUUGUUUUAAAAAAAAUUCAUUUUAUUUUAUCUUUUUUAGAGAAACG